AUGUUUAUCCAGAUAACUGCUUGCGCCGUAGAGUCAGAUGAAACAUAUGAUAUGGCUGCUAAAUGCGCGGAGCAGCUAGCACGAGAUGUGGAAAAACAGUUGAAAAUUAGAACUGAUCCAGAUCCAAGCUCGAAUUUGGGUAACUCCUCAGUUUCACAAGGUACGAACAUUGACUCUAGUAGAGUUUUAAAACAUAAUGAGGGGCUUGAAAGGCCGAAAGAUAUGAAGGUCAAGGAGAAGACUGCACGAGGAUCAGCAAGGCCCAUUGGUGGCUUGAAGAAAGCAAAAACAAAGAAGAAAAAGAAGAUAGAUGAUUCUUUCCAACUACAACCUGAAAUGCCUUCACAAAUCAAAUGUUUGUGCAUAACCCAAUGUUGA
rnacentral:rRNA from 1 species